rnacentral:rRNA from 1 species
UACGUAGGGUGCGAGCGUUGUCCGGAAUUAUUGGGCGUAAAGAGCUCGUAGGCGGUGUGUCACGUCGGCCGUGAAAACCUGCAGCUUAACUGUGGGCGUGCGGUCGAUACGGGCAUCACUGGAGUUCGGCAGGGGAGACUGGAAUUCCUGGUGUAGCGGUGAAAUGCGCAGAUAUCAGGAGGAACACCGGUGGCGAAGGCGGGUCUCUGGGCCGAUACUGACGCUGAGGCACGAAGGUCAGGGGAGCAAACGGG